rnacentral:lncRNA from 1 species
AUGAUGGGAAAGGGGAUGGGAGAGACUCUCAGCUCUCAGCCUAACAGCUCAAGGAUUCCCUGGACCCCACCUCUGCCCCAGCCCAGCCUUACUGCUAAGGUGUCAACAGACGAGGUGGUCGACUUCAGGCGCGCUCGGCCCCGGCCUCGGCCCCCGUGGGACCCACCUCGGGGGCGCCUCCGCCCAGGGAAGCUGCUGCUGCGACCCUGUGCCCAAGGGGAGAGGGGAGUUACAGCACUGGGGAGCCCAGUGGGACCCCAAAAUGGGGUAAGUGGCGUCUCCCUUACCUGCUUGACACGGGAGCGCCCGGGAGAGCUGCGGCGCCGGCUCUUGUCCCCGUCACCUUUGGCUGCUGGCUCGAAGAGCAGCGAGUCAUCGGUCUCAGCACCCAGGGGCAGCGACCCAGCGUCCUCCUUCUGCAGGCUGGCAUCAGCCGAGGCCGGGCCCAGCUCAGGGGACAGCGACCCCCCACCCUCAGGAUCCGGGGACCCCAGCAGCGGCUCCGAGCCGGGGAAGCUGCUGCUCGUGUCCCCCUGGCUCAGGUUGGAGAUCUCGUUGAGGAUGUCGGGCCGCGGGCGCAGCGCGGGGGGCUCGGGGCACCCCUCGUCCCCGUGCCCCAGCAGCUUCUCGUUGGUAGUGCACACCUCCAUGGGGGUCUCAGGGCCCAGCUCCUCCGGUUCCAGGAGCAGGGGUGACCCCGAAGGGGACCCCUUGACUUCAGGGUCCCCCCCAGCCCGGGCUUCUUCCAGCGCGUCCUCCUCACUGAGCGGCGGGGAGCUUCCACUGGUGCCCUCCCUCUCCAGCCUCGGCGCCUCUUCUUCCUCCUCUUCCUCCUCCUCAGGCAGGCUCGGGAAGGGCCCCAGCUCAGGGGCUGGGCUGCCAUGGGGGGCAUCUCCAGGGGGGCUGGCUGGGGACUCCCCCUCGCCACCGGCCAUCUCCAUCUCCUCAUCCUCAGGCGGCUCAGCGGGGGCCAGGGUGACAGCAGGGGAGCCCAGGGGUGGCGGUGGGGAGCCAGGGGGGUCGGUGUCCAUGGCGGUGCCAGGGCUGCCAGGGGGCUCGGGCAGGGCUGGGGUGGGGGGCUCGAGCACCUCGUCCUCCUUAGCAUCAGGGGAGGGGGCUGGAGUCCGUGCAGGUGAGAUGGCACGGAGAGCUGCGGGUAGAGAGGGGGAAGGAUGA